AAAGGUUAAGGACAUAAUAAUGACUUUUUAGUUUUUGUUUAGUAGUAUUAAGAAUACUACAUAAAUAUUGCAUUAAAUAUUACUUUAGGCUCCGUUUGGAUAUGUGAGAUUUUAAAUUCUUGUUCUAAAUCCGUCAGUAUGUUUGAAUAACAAAUAAAUCAAAAUAUUUGAAAUCAACAAAAAUCACAUAUGAAUUCCAAGAGUAAAGACAAGAAUUUUAAAUAAUUUCAAAAUAUGUGUUUUUGACAAAUUCUUCUACCUUCUCAUUUAUCUCAAUUUUGCCUUUUUUUGUUUUGAAAGUUGAUUAAACUCUUAAUUAUUAGGUUUUUGUAGGGAAGACGAAACUAAAAAAUGAUUAAUAAAAAAGCCAAAAAAUCUCAUUAAAGUGAUGUUUCUAAUAGAUCUAAACAUACUUUUAGAUCAAAAUGCGGAUAUAAUCGAGAUACAUGUGGCCAUUGAUAUUUACUCAAUCUGUUAGUGAUUGGUGUUAGGUUAAGGCUUCUUCUAAACCUUAAUCAUCUCCUAUGAUGGUGUAUUUUAACGAGAUGUAGGCUUAGGGACCCACCCAAGAGCAAUUACCCCUAGAUUUACUCUAUCCAUCAAAAGAAGUAACAUAUAAUGUGCAAUAAAUGCGCCAUAAAAGGCACGGAAGUUGGAGCAGAUCAUAACAUGGUUUAGAAAACGGUCCAUAAAUGUGUAUAAAUUGCACAGAAACGUUCUUGGAAUGUGAAACUCAUGGGGGCCAAAUGAAACGGGUUAUGAUCAGUUUGAAAAAUCAAUGGAAAAUCUAACAUGUUCCCUUAUGGCUAGAUACUUGAUGGGCGAUGUGCUUCUGCGGAUACCACUUUUAUUGUUUUUAGCCAUAAAAACUGCAGCUGAAUGUCACAAUAUAUCUUAAUGGUCUAGAAAUAGAAUCCACAAUUCUAAGACGAGAAAUGAAACUUUUAUCCAUACACCAUGCGAAGUAGCCUCAAAACAAGAUACGAACUCAGCCUCCAUAGUGGCAAUAGCAGUUAAAGUUUGCUUUGUACUCCUCCAAGAUACAGCUCCACCGGCAAAAACAUAAGCUAUAUCCGAUGUUGAUUUUCGUGAAUCAACACAGCCAAGUGAGUCCGAAUCAGAGUAGCAAUUACCUCCAGAUUUUCAGUUCGUCAUACAUAAGCAGUUUAAUCCUUGGUCCCUUGACGGUACCUCAUCACUUACUUUGCAGCUCUCCAAUGGUCACACCUGGAUUACUUGAUAUCUUCCUACAUCCCAAUAGCAAAGCAAUGGAAGGUCUUGUACAGACCGGAGCAUACAUUAGGCUUCACAAGCAGAAGAAUAGGGAUAUUUUUCAUUUUGUUCCCUUUCAAGAUUCAUCUUCGGGCACUGGUCAAAUCGAAAUUGUAACCCUUUCACAAUGAGAGCUAUAACUUGGUGAACAAUUUUUCAUCCGAAAUCUCUCUAAAAUCUUGGUUAAUAUAGGUCUCUUGAAACAGACCCAAGAUGCCUGAAAUUGGCUCUAUAGAUCCUUAAUGCCAAUGACAUAAAGAUGGCCUUGGCAUUAUUGAUAUCCUGCAUCGUCACAAUUUUUAGAGAGAAAUUGUGUUUACCUCGUGUAGCAAAACCCUUGUCAUUGGCUUUGCAAAGCAGAUGUCAUCCACAUAUAAAAAAAGAAAACAUAUCUUACUCCCACCAACCUUUUGGUAUAUACAUUGAUUCAUGAUAUUUUCUACAAAUCCGAAUGAAGGAAAGAAAUUAGAAGAAAUUACCAUUAGGAAAUUAAACAUCACACUGAUGGAUACUUGUUUUUUAAACGUUAAUAUGGAUUUCUUUAGUUUGCAGGACCAAAAUUGCUUACACACUAGAGGGGAAUCCUCAGUUUGUUUCAUAUAAACCUCUUCCUCUAGAUCUCCAUUGAGGAAACGCAGUGUAGUUUUCAAUCCAUUGUUGCACUCCAAGUCAAAAUGGCUACGAAUGCCAAUAUUAAUUGCGUAAGGAAUCUUCUUAGAUACAGGAUGAGAAGGUCUUCGUGUAGUCGAUUCCUUCCCUUUGAGUGAAUACCUUUAAAAAACGAUCUUUACCUUGUAUCUCUCAAUGUUGCCCAAUGAGUUUUUUUGUUUAAAGACCAUUUACAUCCAAUGGGCUUGUGUACCGAUUAGGCAAUCAACAAGAUCCCGACUCAUUACUUUUCUUAGAAUUCAUUUCUUUCUUCAUGGCAUUGUACAUAAUUCAGAUUCUUUGCAACUCAUUGGCUGCAAGGACUCCAGGAUCAUUUUCGGCUCCAUAUUGUAGUUUCAGAUUCUUGUAGAUACACAAAAUAAUCACUAGGAAUUGUUGAUUUCUUUGGUCUUAAGUAGAUAUUAUUAAUGUUGUACCAUAUCUUCUUGAGAAUUGGGUCAACUGGCUGAUCAAAAGUUUUUGGCAACUAUUGAACUACCUGACUAUGGAAUAUUGUUUAGCAACUUGUGGAAUUUCAAUGAUUGGAGGUCAAAACCAGUGUCUACUUGAGGGGUGCUAUGAAGAAUAAUAAUCAAUCUAUCACUUGAAGUAGAAGGUUGAUAUUCUAAAGAUCCUUGUAGAAGAAAAUUAUGUUUCUGGUUUGAUUCACUCCUGCUAAUCAAGUCAUUUUCAAGAAAAUUUCAUUUCUUGAUUCCACAAUCCAAUAUUGUGAGAUGGACAGUAAAAAACAUAGCCCUUAGACCUUUCAGCAUAUCCAUGAAAUACCACUCAUGGUCCUUGGUUCAACUUCUUUUUUGUGAUAUUAAAUUCUUACUUCAGACGAGGCAUCCCAAAUGCGCACAUGUUCGCCAAAAUCGGUUUCCAACCUUUCCAUAACCGAAUGGUGUUUAGGAACAACUUUGGUUGGGAACUCGAUUUAAUUAUAUGUUGCUAUGCUUAAGUGGCUUCAGUCCAUAGGAUUUAGGAAGAUGGAGUGCUGCAUACUCCGCACCAUGUCCAAUAAUGUUCGAUUUUUCUUUCUGCCACCACCAUUUUGUCUGGUGAACCAGGCAUGGUGUAUUGCCAACAAUUUCCCAUUCUCUUGAAGAACUUUGCAAACGGACCUGUUCCUUGUCACAUCUUGGUAUCUACAUAAUAUCUCCACCUCUAUCUGAUCUCAUGAUUUAAUAUGCUUUUCACAUUGUUUCUUACUUCCAAGCCUUGAAGGAUCUAAAGCAUCCAUGCUUCGUUCUGUUUAAAGCAAGUAGAGAUAACAUGUAAUAGUAAUAAUCAUCUACAAAUAAAGAAGAUGAGUAUUUCUUGACCAUGUGCAUCCAGUCCUGGACUACAUAUAUAUCAGUAUUAGGAUCUCUAAUAUUUCUGAACCUCCUAUUGUCACCUUUCCUUGACCUUGUUGGUUUGCUUCCCUUAAUGGCAAUCCACACAGUUUUAAAUCAGUAAAUCAAGAGUACUAAGUACCCACCGCCAUCAUUUACUAAUAUCUUAUUUAUUUCUUUAGAGAUAUGUCCCAAUCUCUGGUGCCCAUAAUAUAGAGGAAUUCUCAUUACACACAUCUUUUUUGUGUCCAGUAUGAACAUUCUAUCAUUAUAUUGGAAAUAUCAUUUUGGUAAUUUAAUAGAGAAAAGACCCAUCAGACAAUGUACCAUUCCCAACAAGAUCAGAUUUAUAAAUAAAUUGAAAGAUGUCUUCCUGAAAAGUUAAAGGAAUAUCCCAAAUGUACAAGUCUUGAAACCGAAAUAAUUCUAGAAAACCUUGAAUAUAAAAUGUCUUUUCCCAAAUGUAAAAUAAAACUACUACUUAGAACUAAUUAUAAUGUUCCUACAGCCUCCACAUGUGAACACAUCUUUGUUUUUCUGAAUAGAUAUCUUGCUCACUUCCCACUUGCGUUCCUUAGGUUUCGCAUACCCUGCCAAGGUAUUCGAAAUAUGUGAUUGGUAGAACUAGAAUCAAUCCCCCAUUGUGUUAUAAAUAACAUCAUCAUAUAGGAUUUUUUCAUCACAAACAAACGAGGUGAGAUACCUUUCAUAUUCAAGCCAUUUCGAAAUUUUCACACCUUCUUUACUUGUCCCCUUCUUUUUUACAAAAAAACACGUGGAUUUCUUCUUAAUAUUGUGAGACCCUAAAUCCUAUUUCAUAAUUAUUUUCAUUCCAAUGCAUAAUUUAUAGUAAUGUUUGGUUAAUUCAAUUUAGUUUAUUGACGUGCAGCAUGUUCGUAUUAUGUGGGCGGGUAUGUGCGGGGGGUAAAAUGUUAUUAAAUUAAAGUUAUGGGGUACAAAGCGUGAAUACUUAACUUAGUUGGGGUUAAAUUGAAAAUUUAAACACUUGUGAGAUAAAUCAAAGAAGACAUCGAAAUUAGAAUGGAAAAGGUGUAAUUUAAUUAAAAACAUGAUGGUGGUUGUCGGCCAUUGUAUCUAUAUUUGCUUGUAAAGAAAAAAAAGAAAGAAAGAGGAAGGGAAAGGAGAGAAGACCGAGAGAAGGAAAAAAGAGAGAAGGAAGGAAACUCAGAGAAAAGAGAGAAAAACAAGAGAAGAUAAGAACGCAGAGAAAUACAAAUAACGGCUUUGAAGAACAUUGUGUUUAACCAAUUGUAAGUGAAUGUUAUGCACUAUUUUAACUUAUUAGUUUUAAUUGUUUAAAUUAUGAAAAUCUUUUAGCAUGUGCCAAGUUAUGAUGUGUUAAAGGUACUCUUAAGAAAUUGGGUUUUAGAAAGAGAGAUAAGAUGAUAUUGGUAAUUCCUUAAAAACACAAUAAUAUAUAUUAUGAUGAAUAAUAAUUCCUAACCCGAAUGAAUUGAUUUUGCACUAAAAAUUAAGUGUUUGUACGUAUUGAUGUUAAGGAUCUAUGAAAUAGUCUCUUGAAAAAAGAAAAAAAAUUUGAAAACAAAAGAGGGGAGCCGAAGCUUUCCGUUGUUCAUAAAGGCUUCCAGACUGGGAAUUAUCCAUGUGUGGGCCCCCACCCCCCCCCACCCCCGAGCCGAUGAGACUAUCGUGUUCUUUAGUUAAAGGUUGGUCAAUCGGAUGAGUUUUUGGUCGUAGAAUAGGUCGUUUUCUAUGUUUUUCAAGCAUCUGAAUCAAAUGUUAGUGUCUGUUUCACCUAAUUCGAAAAGUUACAACAAUUGCUUUGGACAUAAGUAAGUGAUCGUUAGAGAUUUUAAGCGAUAAAUGUCAACAUCAACGGUGAAAAACUUGUCCCAUUUGCCUUAAAAAUUAAUGGAGUGUACCACUUGAUUUAUGAUCACCAUUGUAUCAAAUUAUAUAUUUAUAGAUUUUGAGUUGUAGUACAAAUCGUAAUUGGCGUCUAAUAAAGUAUGAUAACGGAGCUAAUGAAGGAGAAGGGCCUUCAAGGCAACUUAGGGUGUGACUUGACUUACGGUGACAGGUGGGAAAUAAUAUUAAAGAUCAUCUUAUUCAUGAAUUGAAUUGCUUGUCUUUUAUACGAUUGAUGAGAUUUGGUGAAUUUUAUACGACUGGUGAUAAGGAUUAUUAUCUGUGGAUUAUAUCUGUGAGGUGAUGUGGCAAAUGCAUAUAAUUAUCUUUGUGUGCUUUAUUGCACUGGUGAAAGUAACCACGGUGGGUUAACUAGGCUUAGUCACGGUGGAGCUAGCCAGGGGUUGCCACGGUGGGCAUUCCUUUGAUAAGACCAACAAAUAUGUGGGCCCACGUUUAUCUAAAUUUGCGCGCACAUGUGGGUGAAUACAUUAUCAUUGACAUUCUUAUUGGCUAUUUUUUCAUGGUGUAGGGCGUUAUCUGUAUCAUUCUUUUAAUGAAUUUGAUUAUCUAAUUGUUAGCAUGUGGAUUAUUAGCUCACACCCACACAGAAUCUUUUUGAAGGUGAAGUGAUACAGUAAGUUGUCUGGUUUAUACUUACGUGUGUUGUACUCCUAACGUGGUGAUCAUCCUGGUCGAGGUUGGAGUCCCCCCCUUUUUUUAGAAAAAAAAAAAGAACUCGAGUAGUUCUCACUUUGUAGAUUUUUGAGUUAACCUUGAGGGGUUGAUUUGGGUAUAUGUCUUGUGUUUACAAGAGAGAUUUUUAAUGUAUGUGUAUUCUCUAUGGUUUGAGGUUUGAUUUUAAUUAUCAGUGUAAUAUGACCCUGGCUGGGUAAUUUAUUCCUUGUUUGGGCUUGAAUAUUUGUGGUAAUACAUGUGUCGUUCGCAGGCAAUGGUGGCCUGUCGAUCACUCCUGCUAAAUACAUUAAUUAUGUUGUUUAGGUUUGGGGGUGUGACAGUUUGAUACCAUUUGGUAUCAAGCAGUGGUUUAAAAGCCAAAGGAUAUCACUUAGGCUAGGUCCGUGGGGUUUGUUUCUAGGAUCACAGUGAACCAGGGUGUUGUCAGUAUUGUCGAGUGGGUUUGUUAUAUUUAUGUUGUAUUAUAUGUUGCAAUGUGCUAAUUUACUUGAUGCAAAAGAAGAUAUGGCGGAUGAGGAAUCAUCAGUUUCCGCUAGAGGGGUGGUACAAGAGGAGCCCUGAACCACGAAGCAGCAAUCAGCCUGACGCAAACAGGAGAUUAAACAACUCCUGUCCUUGAUGACAUAACAGGUACAUGGAGUUUCAAAUGCAAGGCCAUACGGGGUACCACCCACAUGAGCAUUGUAAUGGAAUUGAAUUCCGCCUGAUUUUGGGGGCAACUGGAUCCUUUAGUGGCUGAAUAAUGGGUGUGAAGAAAUUAUAUACCAGUUUUGAAGUGAUGGAAGUGACCAGCUACAAAAUUGACUUUUAGGCCACAUUUAUGUUGAGGGGAGAGGCAAGAAAUUGGGGGAAUCGAUGAGGAAAUGCAACCUGAGGAGUGCCAUUUUUCAUGGGCAACGAUUUGUGGAAAACUUCAAUGAUCAGUACCUUUCCCGUCGCAUCUGCCGCAUGCAAAAAGAAGAAGAGUUUAUUCAUUGAAAAAAGGACGUGUCUAUAGUGGAUUUAAGAAAAAUUUAUUGCUUUGUCUCGAUUUGCGCCUGAAAUGGUGCGUACUGAGAACUAAGUGCAGACGAUUUGAGCCUGGCCUAGAUACUGGCAAAGAUCGGAGUCGUGUAGCGCUGUUUUUAGCUUAAUAAUAUUCAGAGUUUAGUGACAAAUCAAAAAUUGCAGAACAGAGUUGAUGGAAUUUCAAAAUAGACCAAGAGAAGAAUUCAAAGUAAAAAAGGAUAUUUGAUUCGGGGCCCGGACCGUCAAGACAAAGUCCCUACAGAUGUAACAGGCGACAGUAGUGCAGAGCAGAGACCCAGACUGAUGCGAGGAGUGUAGGACUGGUAGUUCUGGAGGUGGAGGAAAUUCUAUCAGGGGAAGAGGAUCGUGGAAACCACCAGCUAGACCUAAUACUGCACAAUCUGGUACUACAGGAGAAUCAUUUGUUAUCGGUGGCGGUGUUGAGGCAUAUGGUCCGGAUUGUCUCAAUGCCUUGGUAGAUAAUGUUAUCAGUGUGGGAACCUGGACACAUCGCAAGACAUUGUACUCACGAGGCCUGUUUGCAGUUUCAUCAUUAGGCAUUGCAGUUGAGAGAGGUAAGAGAGCAAUAGAAGUGCACAAUACAAGGGCAGGCAACUACUCCAUAACCGCGUACUCAAGCUCGUAGUUUAAUGCCUGACACAGAAGCAUGUCAAAGCCACUUCCUAAUGCAGUACAGGUACACUUUUAGUAAUAAUUAGAAAGCUUACGUUUGAUAGAUCCAGGUGCUACACUUCAUUGUGUCCUACUAUAAUUCGGGCAUGCCCUCUAGAUAAGAUCAUGUAGUUCCUUUUCCAACCUUUACUUGUGUCCCUACCCAGUGGAGAUGUGGGGGAGUGGAGGAGUAUAUAAGGAAGUGUGUUUUUGAAAAUUGGGUGAGAAUGAGUUAUUAGUUGAAUUUGAUGCCACUGAGUAUUCAUGACUUUGAUCUAAUUUUGGGAAUGAAUUGGUUUAGCUUUCUUACAUGCUUCUAUGACUGUUUUAAGAGGAGGUUGUGUUUAAAUAAUCCAAAUGAAUUGGAAUUUACAUUUCAAGGUGAAAGGGAUGUAACUCCCACUUGUUUGCUUCGGCUGUGAAAGCAAGAAAGUGUUUUUGCAGAAAGGCUGUGAGGGAUAUUUGGCUCACAUUAUGAUACAGCUAUAGUAGAAAAGAAGUUAUCUGAUUGUCUGUUGUUAGAGAUUUUUUCCCAGAUGUGUUUCCAGAUUGACCUUCAGGAGUAAUACCCAGAACGGGAAGUGGAGUUUCUAUUGAGUUAUUGCCUGGGAACUGCACUUUUCUCUCCUCCGUAUAGAAAUGGCACCAUCUAAUUGCGCGAAUUGAAAGUGCAAUGUCAUGAUUUGCUUGAGAAAGGGGUUUAUUUCAGCCGAGUGUAUCACCUGGGGUGCGCCAGUUCUGUUUGUGAAGAAGAGGAUGGGUAACGAUCGACUAUGUAUAGAUUAUAGACAGUGAAUCAGAUCACAGUACAGAACAAGUAUCCUUUACCUCGGAUGUGAUUUGCUUUUAUCGUUACAGGGUGCUUGUGUCUUUUCCAAGAUUGAUUUGAGAUCUGGGUUCAUCAUUGAAAGUAAAGGCAGUGAUGUAUCGAAGACUGCAUUCCGUACUCGAUAUGACACUAUUGAGUUUUUGGUAAUGCCUUUUGGAGUAACGAAUGCACCAGCUAUUUUCAUGGAUUUGAUGCACAGGGUAUUCAUCUUUUUCCCCCCCUUUAUUCAAUUUGUCAUUGUGUUUAUUGACGACAUAUUGGUUUUUUUUCUCGGAUUCAGGAAGAACAUGAAAGCAUUUUGAGAAUUGUUUACAGACUUUACGUGAAAACAUUGUAUGCUAAGUCAGCAAAUGUGAAUUUGCUGGAUGGGGUUUGCAUUCUUGGGUCUGUUAUAUCUGCAGAAGGAACUAACAUGUGGGAUCCAAAAAGAUAGAGGCAGUAAUGAAUUGGGAGGCGCGCCGAAGAAAUGUGUCAGAAACAGAAGUUUUCUGGUUUUUGGCGGUUAUUAUCGAAAGUUUAUACAAUGGGUUUUUUCUUCUAGUGGCUGUUCAGUUGACGCGGUUGACUCGCAAGGAUGUCAAAUUGAGUGGACAGAUGAUUUGUGACGAGUUUUCACAGAAUUGAAAACUAGUUGACUACGGCACCAGUGUUGACGAUUCUUCUGAAAGGGAGACUUUGUGGUAUAUGUGAUGCUUCACAUCAGGGAUUAGGAUGUGUAUUGAUGCAGCAAAGACAGGUAGUUGCGUAUGCGUCAAGACCAGUUGAAGCCACAUGAAAUGAAUUAAUCCUAAUACAUGAUUAGGUUGGCUUUGUGGUGUUUGCUUUGAAGAUAUGGAGGCAUUUUUUGUAUGGAGAGUCUUUUGAAGUGUUACAGAUCAUCAAAGCUUAAAGUAUUUGUUUACAACAACGAGAUUUGAAUGCUAGCAGAGGAAUGGAAUGGAGCUGGAUUAAAGACUAUGAAUUGUGAUUCAUUCAUCCAGUAGAGCCAAUGUGGUGCUGCCUGCUUUGAGUAGGAGUCUGCAGGACGGCUAGCUUGUAUCAAAUGUUGUCGGGCAAGUUAUGUGCAGAGACUGAAUUACUUGAGAGUGGAGUUUGAGCAAAAGAAGAUGGGUGUUAUGGUAGCACACUUGCAAGUGAGACCUUUAUUGCUUGAUCGUAUUCCGCGAAUUGCAAAUGCAAGAUGAUCAAUUGAGGAAGAUUAGAACACAAGUGGUGGGACAAAGUUAAUAUUUAGUUCUCUAUACUUGAUGAUGGACCCUUGAUGUUUGGAAAUAGGUUUUUUGUAUUCCCAAUGCGUUAGAGUUGAAGAUAUAUUUCUAGGGGAAGCACCCCAAUCAUUUGUAUGCCAUGCAUCCAGGGAGCACAAGAUGUAUAGAGAGCUGCCGAGAAGUGGUAUGGGUGGCCAGGUAUGAAGACAGAAUAUUAGUCAUGAGUUUGUGGCAAGAUAUGUCUAACUUGUCAACAUGUGAAAGCUGAACAUCAAAGAAACCUGUGUUUGUUGCAACUCUUCCUAUUCCACAGUGGAAAGGGAGCAUAUUGGCUAUGGAUUUUUGUGGUGGGACUGUUCCAAAAAGCUGCUACGGGUUUUUGAUUCUAUUUGGGUGAUUGUUGAUAGAUUGGACCAAAUCAGCUCAUUUCCGCAUUAAGAUCACUUACUCCUUUACAGAUUGCAAAGGCCUUAUGUGGAUUAGAUUGUGAGAUUGCAUUGAGCACUAGUUUCUAUUGUCAGACCGAGAUCCCAAUAUUUACUUCCAGAUUUUGGGCCAAGUCUUCAACAAGCUAUGGGCACAUCAUUGAAUUCAGUACGGCAUUCAUCCUCAGACAGAUGGGUCAAUCUGAGAGGACAUUCAAGAUUUGGAGGAUAUUUUUUUUUUGAGGGCCCCCUUGUAUGCUGGACUUCAAAGGGUAGUUGGAAUGAUUUCAUUGCCUUGAUGUGAGUUUGCGUAUAACAUAGUUAUCAGACUAGUAUUGGUAUGGAACCAUUUUGAAGUCCUUAUAUGCAGAAAUGUCUAACUCCAGUGUGUUGACUGAAGUGGGUGAAAGACAGUUGUUGGGUCCAGAGAUGAUUCAGGAUACAACAGAAAAAUCAAAACAGUUCAUGAGCAGGUUGAAGUGUUGCACAGAGUAGACAAAGAGUUUGCUGAUACUCGCCGCCUGGAGCUUGAAUUCGAGGUGUGAGAUCAAGUUGUCUUGAAAAGUUUCUUCUCCCAUGGAAAGGUUGUAUUGAGAUUUGGGAGGAGGGUAAAUUGAAUCCAAGGUACAUUGGUCGCAUAUACCAUAAUUGAGAGAGUGUUACAACAGCUUAUCGAUGACUUACCCCCGGCCAGAAAUGUCGAAGCUACACAAUGUGUUUUCAAUGUAUCUAUGUUGAGGAAGUUAUAGCAUCCGUCACAUGGGUUUGAUACAGCAGAAACCGAUUGAGUGGAGGAUGAGACUUGAGUUAUGUAAGAGGAACCCGGUUCAAAUCUUAGAAGAAGGGAGCAAGUUCUUCGGACAAAGUAAUCCAUUGGUGAAAUUUUCUAUGGAGGAGCCAAACAGUAAGAUGAGGCUACAUGUGAGAGUGAGGAGUCUAUGUGGAUUGCCAGUAUCCAUACUUAUUCCAGGUGAGCAUUUCGGGACGAAAUUCUUUAGGCGGGAGAGUUGUGAGACGCCUAAAAUCCUAAUUUUCCUAAUUAUUUUUUUUCAUUCCAUGCAUAAUAUAUAGUAAUUUUGUUAAUUAAUUUAGUUUUUAUUGACGUGCAAGCAUGUGCGGUUAUUAUGUGGGCGUGUAAUGUGCGGGGAUAAAAUGUUAUAAUUAAAGUUAUGGGUACAAAGCGUAAUACUUAACUUAGUUGGGGUUAAAUUGAAGAUUUAAACACUUGUGAGAUAAAUCAAAGAAGAACAUCGAAAUUAGAGGGAAAAGGUGUAAUUAAUUUAAAAAAUUGAUGGUGGUUGUCGGCCCAUUGUAUCUAUAGUGCUUGUAAAGAAACAAAAAAAAAGGAACAGAAAGAGGAAAGGGAAAGGAGAGAAGACCGAGAGAAGGAAAAAAGAGAGAAGGCAAGGAAACUCAGAGAAAAAGAGAAAAAAACAAAGAAGAGGGAGAGACGCAUAAAGAAAAUACAUCUUUGAAGUCAUUGUGUUUAAACCAAUUGUAAGUGAAUGUAUCACUACUUUUAACUUAUUAGUUGUAAUUGUUUAAUUAUGAAAAAUCUGUUAGCAUGCAAGUUAUGAUGUUGUAAGGGUACUCGUAAUAAAUUGGGUUAGGAAAGAGAGAGAAGAUGAUAUAUGGUAAUUCCUUAAAACAAAAUAUCAUAUAUAAAUUAUGAAUAGAAUCCUACCGAAAUUGAUUGAUUUUGAAGAAAAAUAAGUUGUUUGUACGUAUUGAUGUCAGGAUCUAUGAAAAUAGUCUCUGGAAAAAAAGAAAAAAAAAAUUUGAAAACAACAGAGAGGGGAGCCGAAGCUCCUGUGUGCUUCCAGCUGCAGACGGAAAUUAUCCAUGUGGGCGCGCCGAUGAGACCUAUCGUUGUGUCUUUAUUUAAAGUUGGUCAUCGAUGAGUUUUUGUGUCGUAAUAAAUAUCCUUUUCUAAUGUUUUUCAGCAUUUCUGAAUAAAUGGUAGGUCUGUUUAACCUAAUUCGAAGUUACAAUGAUUUGGGACAGCAGUAGUGAUCGGUAGAGAUUUUAAGCGUAUAUGGCAAACAAUCACGGUGAAACUUGGUCCACUGCCUUAAAAAUUUAAUGGAGUUGUGCCGACUAUGAUUUAAUGAUCAUCCAUUGGAUCAAAUUAAUAUUUUAUAGAUUUGAGUUGUAUACAUCGUAAUUUUGCGUACUAAUAAAGUUAUUAACCAGGAGCUAAGGAAAGGAGAAGGGCCUUCAAGCAAACUUAGGUGUGACUUGACUACGGUGACAGGUGGGAAAUAAUAUAUUAAGAUAAUCUUUAUUCAUAUUGAAUUGCUUGUCUUUUAUCGAUUGAUGAUGAUUUGGUGAAUUUAUAUAAAUAUAUACGACUGGGUGAUAAUGAGUAUAUCUGUGGAUUAUAUCGUGAAGGUGAUGUGGCAAUGCAUUCCUUAUCCCUUGUGUUCUUGCAUUGCCUGGUGAAAGUUAACUCACGGUGGGUUAACCUAAGCUUAGUCACGGUGGACUAGCCUAGGAGGUUGGCCACGUGGGCAUUCAAUUCCUUGCUAACGAGCCAACAAAUAUGGGCCAACGUUAUCUAACUGUUCUUUGCGCGCCACAUUGUGGGUGCUCAUUAUGGCAUUGACAUUCUUUAUUGGCUGGGGGAUUUUUUAUGGUGUAAAUUGGCUUAUCUGUAAUCAUUCUUUAUAAUGAAUUUGAUUACUAUUGUGACAUGUGGAUAUUAGCUCACCCCACAACAGAUCUUUUUGACACGGUGAGUGAUACAGUUAGUUGUCUGGUUUACUGUGGUUUGUCUCCUAGACGUGGUGAUCAUCCUGGUCGAGGUUGGAGUCGUAGAGAACUCGUAGUAGUUCUCCUUGUAGAUUUUUUUGAUUUUACCCACCUGAUUGAGUUGUUUUAUGUCUUGUGUUUACAGAGAGUAUUUUUUUGUAUGUGUAAUUAUCUUAUGGUUAGGGUUGAUUUUAAUUAUCAUUGUAUAUGACCCAGGCUUGGGUACUUUAUUCUUGUUGGGCGCCUUGAGAUAUUGUGGUAUACAUGGUGUCGUUUCGUUCGCAGGCAUGGUGGCCUGUGCGAUCACUCCGGCCUAAAAAUAGCAUUAUUAUGUUGAUUUAGGUGGGGUGUGACCAUAUAGCUUGGGGAAGGUAUUUACCUUUCCACUUUUUAUGGGCUUUGAAUUCUGUCCUUUCCCCCCGCAUUGCCAGCUUGCACUUUCUCCCAAUUCCAUUAACAACCUCCCUUCUUCUUCUCUUCUUUGACACACAUGGGUCAUGAGUUCAUUGAUUGACCAUUUUAUCUUUUAUGGUGUUGUACCAAGAUUUGAAAGGGUCAAUAUUGCUGAGGAAGAGUAUUUAGGAUUAUUGCACUGCAGAAUGUCCUCAUGUGCAUAUAUGCUCACGCACACCUCUCCAGUGGUGAGCCUCACUGGAUGCCAACUUCAUGAUUAGGGUGCUUGCAGUUCCGUGUCUGAAGUGAUGGAAUUGAUCAUCUUGCCUUUAGCAAAUCACGAACAUUCUCAUUCUAAUCAAACCGAACGACGUAUACUAGAGCAAUAUUUAGUUUUUAUGAACAUUACACCUACGACGAUUAGAGUGCUCCCAUUGUGUCAUAAAGUGCAAUAUUUUCUAAAGUACUGGUAUCAGAACUGCAGGUGAUGUCGUCUUUCCUAAUUGCAUAAAUCAAUGUCGCAUCCACCCUAAAUGGAGAAGAAUUCUGCUCCUUUCCAUACUUUAUAGUUAUCAACCCUUAUCACCACUUAAGUUCAACAGAAUAAUCGCACCUAAUCUCACAGAAAUUUUUAUAUGUAUAGCUCAAUAUAUUUAAAUAUACAGAUUUAUAAUUCAAUAUUUAAGGCUAAUAAACAGAUAUCUGUUUUACCAAUAUAAAUUCAGUUUAAUGAAUCUAGUAACAUAAAACUUUGCCUGUGGGCUAAAGGUCUAAUAAUUAGAUCCAUUUAUAACUAAAUGAUAAAAAACUUUUAAAUUAUGUUCCAUUUCUUAUUCCUGUGGGUAAAUUAAGAAAUAUAUUUGAUAUCUAUCUAAAUCCCAAUUAAUCACACAGUUAUAAUAAAAAUGGAAUCCUCCUAUGGGAUAAAACUUUAUUAUAAUAAAUGUAAGUAAUUAUAAUUAAUAUCUAUAAUACUUUAUGUGAUCCUAAACAUAUCAUAAUAUAUUUUUUAUUUGAUUAAAAGAGCUGUGGCUACUCCCUAAUUAAAUAAAAUUAUAUGGAUCACUCGACAUUAAAUUAAUUCCCCAGAAAAGAUUAUUAACAUAUUAUAUAUAUAAACAAAACAAUAAAAUUAGAUAACAAAAUAACAAUCAAGUUUUUUUUUUUUUUAAGUUCUCUAACCUUAAUUUUCAUCAAAAACUAUGAAUCAACAACUUGCUGAAAUAAAAAAUUUACAGCAAUGUUUGCAGCAAAAAAUCUAGAUUGUCAUAAUACAGGCAAGGCAAAUCACGGCUCUGAUACUAAUUGAUAGUUUCUAAAAAUAGACUUUGAACAUGCUUUUAUAUCAAAUUCGGAAAUAAUAAAUAAUCGAAUGUACCUGUUGCCAUUGAUAUUUUACUCAAUUCGCUAGUGGUUAUUUUAGGGUAAGGUUCUUAUAAAACUUAAUCAAUUCCAUAUGAUGGUGUAUGUUAAUGAGAUUGUAGGCUUAGGGACCCAACCAGAGCACGCCCUUAUAUUUACUCUGUCCAUCAAAGAGAUAACAUAUAAAUGUCCAUUAAAUGCGCCAUUAAAACUGCACGGAAGUUGGAGCAGUCAUAACAUGUUAGAAACGUUCCAAACGUGAUAUAAAUAUGCACAGAAACGUCUUGAAUGUGGAACAAUCAUGACCACAGGAAACGUAUGAUCCGUUUGAAAAUCCAUGAAAAUCUACAUAAAGACCACAAAGAAAUGUCUACAAAGAAAAGAUAGAGGUAAAAAAUAGACAAUUGAUUGAAAAGAUGAAAGUGUUUUUUAUGCGCGUACAAGUUACACCAAAUUAACGUGGAAUUCAUUUUGAACUCAAUAAUAUAAUAACAAUCGUUUAAUCA
rnacentral:lncRNA from 1 species